rfam:Ovis aries breed Texel chromosome 1, whole genome shotgun sequence.
UCCCUGGUGGCUCAGAGGUUAAAGCGUCUGCCUCCAAUGCUGGAGACCAGGGUUCGAUCCCUGGGUUGGGAA